GGCGCAUUAGUAAGAACAUUACAUGGUCUUGUCAAGGCCAAAUCACAGACAAAAAUAUCUGUAUGCACC
rnacentral:tRNA from 1 species